rnacentral:misc_RNA from 1 species
GAUGAAGAACGCAGCGUAAUGCGAUAAGUAAUGUGAAUUGCAGAAUUCAGUGAAUCAUUGAAUCUUUGAACGCACCUUGCGCUCCUUGGUAUUCCGAGGAGCAUGCCUGUUUGAGUGUCAUUAAUAUAUCAACCUUCUCUUUUUUGAGUUGUUUGGAUGUGGGGGUUUGCUGGCCUCUUAAAUGAUUCAGCUCCCCUGAAAUGCAUUAGCAGAACAACCUGUUCAUUGGCGUGAUAAUUAUCUAUGCUAUUGAAUGUGAGGGCAGUUCAGCUUUCUAACCGUCCUUGGACAAUUCAUCAUUAAUGUGACCUCAAAUCAGGUAGGACUACCCGCUGAACUUAAGCAUAUCAAUAAGCGGAGGA